AUUGAACGCUGGCGGCAGGCCUAACACAUGCAAGUCGAGCGAACCUAGCUUGCUAGGUGAGCGGCGAACGGGUGAGUAACACGUAGGAAUCUGCCCGAUAGUGGGGGACAACGUCUCGAAAGGGACGCUAAUACCGCAUACGCCCUAAGGGGGAAAGCAGGGGAUCUUCGGACCUUGCGCUAUCGGAUGAGCCUGCGUCGGAUUAGCCAGUUGGCGGGGUAAAGGCCCACCAAGGCGACGAUCCGUAGCUGGUCUGAGAGGAUGAUCAGCCACACCGGAACUGAGACACGGUCCGGACUCCUACGGGAGGCAGCGGUGGGGAAUAUUGGACAAUGGGGGCAACCCUGAUCCAGCCAUGCCGCGUGUGUGAAGAAGGCCUUCGGGUUGUAAAGCACUUUAAGCGGGGAGGAAAGUUCGCUGGCUAAUAUCCAGCGGAAUUGACGUUACCCGCAGAAUAAGCACCGGCUAACUCCGUGCCAGCAGCCGCCGUAA
rnacentral:rRNA from 1 species